GAGUUUGAUUCUGGCUCAGGAUGAACGCUGGCGGCGUGCUUAACACAUGCAAGUCGAACGGGCGAAUUAUAUCGGAGGUCUUCGGGCCGAAGAGAUAAUAAGCUAGUGGCGGACGGGUGCGUAACGUGUGGGUAAUCUGCCUUUGUCAUAGGAAUAACUGCUUGAAAAAGUAGCUAAUACCAAAUAACAUAUCGUAUAGGCAUCUAUAAGAUAUCAAAGAGAAAUCGGACAAAGAUGAGCCCGCAUCUGAUUAGCUGGUUGGUAGGGUAAAAGCCUACCAAGGCGACGAUCAGUAGCCGGCCUGAGAGGGUGAACGGCCACAUUGGAACUGAGACACGGUCCAAACUCCUACGGGAGGCAGCAGUGGGGAAUAUUGCACAAUGGGGGGAACCCUGAUGCAGCAACGCCGCGUGAGUGAAGAAGGCUUUCGAGUCGUAAAACUCUGUUGUAAGGGAAGAUAAUGACG
rnacentral:rRNA from 1 species